rnacentral:rRNA from 1 species
GAUGAACGCUAGCGGCAGGCUUAAUACAUGCAAGUCGAGGGGCAGCAGUUUUGUAGCAAUACAGAAGCUGGCGACCGGCAAACGGGUGCGGAACACGUACGCAACCUUCCUUUAACUGGAAGAUAGCCCACCAAAAGGUGGAUUAAUACUCCAUAACAUAUUGAAGAGGCAUCUCUUUGAUAUUAAAGCCCCGGCGGUUAAAGAUGGGCGUGCGUCUGAUUAGGUAGUUGGCGGGGUAACGGCCCACCAAGCCUUCGAUCAGUAGGUGAUGUGAGAGCAUGAUCAGCCACACGGGCACUGAGACACGGGCCCGACUCCUACGGGAGGCAGCAGUAAGGAAUAUUGGUCAAUGGACGCAAGUCUGAACCAGCCAUGCCGCGUGGAGGAUGAAGGCCCUCUGGGUUGUAAACUUCUUUUCUUUGGGACGAAACCCCUGUUUCUACGGGGACUGACGGUACCAGAGGAAUAAGCACCGGCUAACUCCGUGCCAGCCGCCGCAGUAA